GACGAAAGUCUGACGGAGCAACGCCGCGUGAGUGAAGAAGGUUUUCGGAUCGUAAAGCUCUGUCUUCAGGGACGAAUGUGCUUAAUGUGAAUAAUGUUAAGUAAUGACGGUACCUGAGGAGGAAGCCACGGCUAACUACGUGCCAGCAGCCGCGGUAAUACGUAGGUGGCAAGCGUUGUCCGGAAUUACUGGGCGUAAAGCGCGCGCAGGCGGGAAUGUAAGUCUGUCUUAAAAGUUCGGGGCUCAACCCCGUGAUGGGAUGGAAACUACAUUUCUUGAGUGCAGGAGAGGAAAGUGGAAUUCCUAGUGUAGCGGUGAAAUGCGUAGAUAUUAGGAGGAACACCAGUGGCGAAGGCGACUUUCUGGACUGUGUCUGACGCUGAGGCGCGAAAGCCAGGGGAGUGAACGGGAUUAGAUACCCCGGUAAUCCUGGCCGUAAACGAUGGGUACUAGGUGUAGGAGGUAUCGACCCCUUCUGUGCCGGAGUUAACGCAAUAAGUACCCCGCCUGGGGAGUA
rnacentral:rRNA from 1 species